UUUUUGUAAAUAGUUGUACUGCGUUUUCAAGAUGGCAAGAGUCACUAGAACUCUUUGUCUGCUUCAAAGGAAAUAAAUCCUUUUUGAGUCAAUAUGAAAAUUCCUGGUUGAAUUGCUUGUCUUUUGGAUUGAUCGGAAAUCCAUGGAAUUACUUAUCUUUCGGAUUUUUGGAUCUUUGGAAGUUAUUGGGAUAUUCUUCCGUCUCAAGAUGACGGAGACUUGUAAAGGACAGGCAUGCUCGUAUUAUCACGUAUAAUUUGGUUCUCGAUUUAAAAUUCAUACUGAGACCGUUGUGGCAAGAUUGUUGGAAUAUGUAUAAACGAUUUAAAGAAAUUGCGCAGAUCCGAAACGAGUCAUGUUCCAGUAUAGAACCAAAAAAAGUCCGCCUGACAGCUCCUCAUUGCACGAAAAUCCAUUAUAAAAGUCAGUGAUAAAAUUGUUCCAAAAUGAAAUGACAAGGAAUCCGAAGAAAGUGAAUUUCAUGGAUUUAUCGAUCAAUUCCAAUAUACCUGAUACACAAAUCCUUAAUACCAAUAGGAUAUAUUGUUAAUCAAUUUUUUGUCGUCCAAUCAUAUACAAGUCCCUAUCACAAUAACACACUCAAUAAUCAUAUGGAUCAUCCAUCAACACUAAAAAACGCUCGAUCAAAAAUCAAGUCAAGAUUAUCAAGUCAAUAAGCCCCCAAGUCGGAACGAACUCCCAGGAGGGUGAUAAUAAAAAAAAAGUUAAAAAAUAAAGUCAAAGUAAAACAGAAAUUUCUCAUCUAUUAUCAUCAAAGUACAACGUCACAGUAGUCAACAAUGGCGUUCUGUAGCGAUGGGAUACUUUUAACGGCGCCAAAACCUUUUUCGUGUCAAUAAAAAAGUAAAAAAAAAAAGAAAAUAAGACAAAAACAAAAGAAAAAG